CGCUUGCGCAGUUUACUACGGAAGGGCUAGCGUUGUCAGCGAGUCUGCGAGCCUAUGCGUAGUUUACUACGGACUUCGGGAGCGUAGUCAGAAUUUCAUGGUAAAAGAAGUGAAGUCAUUGCAAAGUACAAUUGGUGACGCAACAAACAAGCCCUUAUAUGAGUCUGUAGGUGGAAAAAUAAGAGUUAUGUCUAUUAGAAGGUGAAGAGGGAAAAAAACGAACAGAAGGAAUCGUCACAGAGGUCUGAACUAGAUGGAAAAUUAAAACGACUCUAAUAAGAGAAGAUAUUGGCAAUACCAUUUGGGCACUAUAGAUAGGCGGGGUUCAGACUUGUGAAAAAACUUGCAAUGCGUCCGAGACCUGACUCACUAGUCAGCUGAUGACAGGGAGCCUGUCUGCUUCAAUGGGUGAAGGGAUCAAUCUGCAAGUAAUGCAACAGCUGGAGACACCCUGAUUGAAAACCACAGUCUCCAGAUCUCAACUUCAUAGAAAACCUUUGGAGGGAGUUCAAAGUCCGUGUUGCCCAGCGACAGCCCCAAAACAUCACUCUAGCUCUAGAGGAGAUCUGCAUGGAGGAAUGGGCCAAAAUACCAGCAACAGUGUGUGAAAACCUUGUGAAGACUUACAGAAAAAAUUUGAUCUCUGUCAUUGCCAAAAAAAAGGGUAUAUAACAAUGUAUUGAGAUUAACUUUGUUAAUGACCAAAUGACUUAUUUUCCACCAUAACUUGCAAAUAAAUUCUUUAAAAAUC